rnacentral:rRNA from 1 species
GACCACACGAAGCUGGAAUCGCUAGUAAUCGCGAAUCAGAAUGUCGCGGUGAAUACGUUCCCGGGUCUUGUACACACCGCCCGUCACACCAUGGGAGUCAGNAACCCGCCCGAAGUCAGUGACCUAACCGAAAGGGAGGAGCUGCCAAAGGCGGGGCCGGUAACUGGGGUGAAGUCGUAACAAGGUAUC